rnacentral:rRNA from 1 species
CAACAACGGAAUCUCUUGGCUCUGGCAUCGAUGAAGAACGCAGCGAAAUGCGAUAAGUAAUGUGAAUUGCAGAAUCCAGUGAAUCAUCGAAUCUUUGAACGCACAUUGCGCCCGCCAGCAUUCUGGCGGGCAUGCCUGUUCGAGCGUCAUUUCAACCCUCGACCUCCCUUUGGGGAAGUCGGCGUUGGGGACCGGCAGCACACCGCCGGCCCUGAAAUGGAGUGGCGGCCCGUCCGCGGCGACCUCUGCGUAGUAAACCAACUCGCACCGGAACCCCGACGUGGCCACGCCGUAAAACACCCAACUUCUGAACGUUGACCUCGAAUCAGGUAGGACUACCCGCUGAACUAAGCUUAUCA